GUGCUCGCUUUCGCAGCACAUACACUAACGCUGGAACAAGACAGAGGGGGUCAUUAUGGCCUCUGUGCAAGGAAGACACACAAGUCCAUGCAGCGUUCCAUAUUCCU
rnacentral:snRNA from 1 species